UAAUACGUAGGGGGCAAGCGUUGUCCGGAUUUAUUGGGCGUAAAGCGCGUGUAGGCGGCCAGGUAGGUCCGUUGUGAAAACUCGAGGCUCAACCUCGAGACGUCGACGGAAACCCUCUGGCUAGAGUUCGGGAGAGGAGAGUGGAAUUCCCGGUGUAGCGGUGAAAUGCGCAGAUAUCGGGAAGAACACCCGUGGCGAAGGCGGCUCUCUGGAACGAUACUGACGCUGAGACGCGAAAGCGUGGGGAGCGAACAGGAUUAGAUACCCUGGUAGUCCACGCCGUAAACGAUGGGUGCUAGGUGUAGGCGGUGUCGACUCCGUCUGUGCCGAAGCUAACGCAUUAAGCACCCCGCCUGGGGAGUACGGCCGCAAGGCUA
rnacentral:rRNA from 1 species